GUAGGGUGCGAGCGUUAAUCGGAAUUACUGGGCGUAAAGCGUGCGCAGGCGGCGCCGCAAGUCGAGUGUGAAAUCCCCGAGCUUAACUUGGGAAUUGCGCUCGAAACUACGGUGCUGGAGUGUGGCAGAGGGAGGUGGAAUUCCACGUGUAGCGGUGAAAUGCGUAGAGAUGUGGAGGAACACCGAUGGCGAAGGCAGCCUCCUGGGCCAACACUGACGCUCAUGCACGAAAGCGUGGGGAGCAAACAGGAUUAGAUACCCUGGUAGUCCACGCCCUAAACGAUGAUGACUAGUUGUUGGGGGAGUUAAAUCCCUUAGUAACGCAGCUAACGCGUGAAGUCAUCCGCCUGGGGAGUACGGUCGCAAGAUUA
rnacentral:rRNA from 1 species